rnacentral:rRNA from 1 species
AUUGAACGCUGGCGGCAUGCUUUACACAUGCAAGUCGAACGGUAACAGGCCUUCGGGUGCUGACGAGUGGCGAACGGGUGAGUAAUGCAUCGGAACGUGCCCAGAGGUGGGGGAUAACGCAGCGAAAGCUGUGCUAAUACCGCAUGUGAUCUGAGGAUGAAAGCGGGGGACCAGGCAGCAAUGUUUGGCCUCGCGCCUUUGGAGCGGCCGAUGUCAGAUUAGGUAGUUGGUGGGGUAAAGGCCUACCAAGCCGACGAUCUGUAGCUGGUCUGAGAGGACGACCAGCCACACUGGGACUGAGACACGGCCCAGACUCCUACGGGAGGCAGCAGUGGGGAAUUUUGGACAAUGGGCGCAAGCCUGAUCCAGCAAUGCCGCGUGCGGGAAGAAGGCCUUCGGGUUUUAAACCGCUUUUGUACGGAACGAAAAGGCUCUGGCUAAUACCUGGGGCUGAUGACGGUACCGUAAGAAUAAGCACCGGCUAACUACGUG